CAUAAUUGUUGUGUCAUGGAAAGGCCUUGCUGAACUUGAUCACGCUCUGGGGCGUUUAUUGAAUAAAUUUCAGCUGGAAUUGGUGUAAAGCUGGGUUUCCCAUUUGGGAUCACUGGUGCAGAUUGCAGAGUGAAUCUGAAACUAAAGAAAAAUUGGAGGCAAAGCAUAGGUAAGAUCCUGGGUUUGUGCUGCAAAAUCUUGCUUAGGAAAUCUUGAAAAUGCUUGAGUUCUAAGUAAAGUGGAGAUGGGAUCUGC
rnacentral:misc_RNA from 1 species